GUUGCAGGUGAACCCCUGAUGGGAAUCUUUAUUUCACAGAGUGGAAGCAAAGGAAUUGGAGUGAGUGCAGACCAUGCUUUGAAGGAAUUCUGCCACAAAGGACAUGUCCAACCUGUAAAACCCACCUGUUCUGUCACCCUCAGCUUCUGGUGUCUACUUUCUAGACUGAAGGCAAUACUGGAAAGGUCGGAUUCAAGGGCUUUCAGAUUGACCACCCAUGAAUAUGGGGCUGCGACCCCUAAGGAGGACCUCAGGUGUCUUUUCCCAAGCGAACGUUCUGGAUCUGCCCUUUCUGCGGCUCACCUCCCCAGCCGGUCUUUUGGCUUCAUCUUUGAUUGCUGGCUCUUGUGCUAUUGGAUCAGUGGGGACAUCUAUCUUCUGUCUUCAAACAUCAGAGUUUCUGGUUCCUGGGCCUUUGGACUUGGACUAGAACUUUACUACCAGCUGUCCUGGUUCCCUAGCUUGUGGACAGCAGAGCGUAGAACUUCUUAGCCUCCAUAAUCACGUGAGCCAAUCUUUCAUAAUAAAUCUCCUUCUCUCUCUCUCUCUCCCCCUCCCGUGUGUGUGUGUGAGUGUGUGUGUGUGUGUGUACAGACAGAUUCUGUAUCUCAUCGGUUCUGUUUCUCUGGAGAACCGUGUCUAAUACUGUGUAUGUGUGUGUACGUUCUAUGCAUGUAUAUAUCUCCAAGAAAUGUUAGGUCAAAAAAGCAAGUUGCAAAACAGCAUGUAUAGUAUGCUACCAUUGUACAUGUGCGUAAACAAUUCUGGAAGGGUCUUCAAGAAACGAAUUACAUUGGUGGCUUAUGGAGAAAGAAGCUAGUUGGCUGUCGGGGCGGAAGAGAGACUCAACAUUCACUUUUCUACACUAUUUGAAUUUUGAACCCUGUGAAGGUGUAACCCAUACAAAACAUUAAAUUUUAAAAGUCACCUUAAAAAUGAAUGAAUACUGUCCACUGACAGAUUAAUGGAUUAGCCAAGUGUAGUAUAUGAAUACAAUGGAAUAUUGUUCAGCCUUUAAAAGGAAGGAAAUUCUGACUCAAGCUACAACAUGGAUGAACUGUGAAGAUACUAUACUAAGUGAAAUAAGCCAGUCACAAGGGACAAAUAUUGUAUGAUUCUGGUUAUAUGUGGUACCUAUAAUAGUCAAGUUCAUAAAGACAGAAAGUAGAAUGGUGGUUGCCAAGGGUUUGGUGAGGGGAUAGGAAUGGAGAGUUAUUGUUUGAUAGGUACAGUUUUAGCUUUGCAAGAUCAAAAGAAUUUUGGAGAUUGCAUGCAUAAAAAGUGAAUAUAUUUAAACUACUUUAUAUGGUUUGGCUGUGUCCCCACACAGGUCUCAUCUUGAAUUGCAGUUCCCAUAAACCCCACAUGUCAUUGGAGGGACCUGGUGGGAGGCAAUUGCAUCAGGGGGAUUGUUACUCUCAUGCUGUUCAUGAUAGUGAGUGAGCUCUCACAAGAUCCAGUGGUUUUAUAAGGGGCUUCCUCCUAUCCUUCACUCUCAUUCUUCUCUCUCCUACCUCCAUGUGAAGAGGGAUGUGUUUGCUUGCCCUUCCACCAUGAUUGCAAGUUAUCUGAGGCUUCCCCAGCCC
rnacentral:lncRNA from 1 species